CUACGGGGUGCAGCAGUGGGGAAUAUUGCACAAUGGGCGCAAGCCUGAUGCAGCCAUGCCGCGUGUAUGAAGAAGGCCUUCGGGUUGUAAAGUACUUUCAGCGGGGAGGAAGGGAGUAAAGUUAAUACCUUUGCUCAUUGACGUUACCCGCAGAAGAAGCACCGGCUAACUCCGUGCCAGCAGCCGCGGUAAUACGGAGGGUGCAAGCGGUAAUCGGAAUUACUGGGCGUAAAGCGCACGCAGGCGGUUUGUUAAGUCAGAGGUGAAAUCCCCGGGCUCAACCUGGGAACUGCAUCUGAUACUGGCGAGCUUGAGUCUCGUAGAGGGGGGUAGAAUGCCAGGUGUAGCGGUGAAAUGCGUAGAGAUCUGGAGGAAUACCGGUGGCGAAGGCGGCCCCCUGGACGAGGACUGACGCUCAGGUGCGAAAGCGUGGGGAGCAAACAGGAUUAGAUACCCCAGUAGUC
rnacentral:rRNA from 1 species